UACAGAGGUCUCAAGCGUUGUUCGGGAUUCAUUGGGCGUAAAGGGUGUGUAGGUGGCGCCGUAAGUCGGGUGUGAAAUUUCGGAGCUUAACUCCGAAACUGCAUUCGAUACUGGAUGGCUUGAAUCCGGGAGAGGGAUGCAGAAUUCCAGGUGUAGCGGUGAAAUGCGUAGAUAUCUGGAGGAAUACCGGUGGCGAAGGCGGCAUCCUGGACCGGCAUUGACGCUGAUGAGCGAAAGCUAGGGGAGCAAACGGG
rnacentral:rRNA from 1 species